rnacentral:pre_miRNA from 1 species
AGCCUCCUGUAUCCGUGCUGAGAUUUGGUCACACCAGACUACAAGAGCUGAUGAGACUUCCAAGAUAAGUGAAACG